rnacentral:rRNA from 1 species
GAUGAACGCUGGCGGCGUGCCUAAUACAUGCAAGUCGAGCGAACAGACGAGGAGCUUGCUCCUCUGACGUUAGCGGCGGGCGGGUGAGUAACGCGUGGAUAACCUACCUGUAUGACUGGUAUCACUUCGGAACACCGGCGCUAAUACCGGAUAAUAUCUUGAACCGCGUGGUUGGAUAGUGAAAGACGGUUUUGCUGUCACUUAUAGAUGGAUCCGCGCCGGAUUGGCUAGUUGGUAAGGUCAAGGGUUUCCACGGCGACUAUGCGUAGCCGACCUGACAGGCUGAUCGGCCGCAUGGGAACUGAGACAGCGUCCAUAGUACUACGGGAGGGCGCAGUAGGGAAUCUGCCGCAAUGGGCGAAAGCAUGACGGAGCAAGGGCGAGUGAGUGACGACGGUCUCCGGAGCGUAAUACCGUGUUAUGAGUGAAGAACCAAUGUCGAAGUAACCAUGCCCUGCUUGACGGUAAUGAAUCAGAAAGCCACGGCUAACUACGUG